rnacentral:rRNA from 1 species
CCCUUAGAUGUUCUGGGCAGCACGCGCGCUACAAUGGUCUUCGCAAACGGAUGCAUCCUCGAAGGAGAAUGCCAAUCUUGGAAUCUAUGCCUUGGUCGGGACAGUUGCUUGCAAUUUUUCGACUCGAACCAGGAAUUCCUUGUAAUCGUGAUUCAUCACGUCACGAUGAAUACGUCCCUGCCCUUUGUACACACCGCCCGUCGCUCCUACCGAUCGAAGAGUUAGGUGAAUUGUUUUGAUCGAUAAGAUUUGACUAUGGUCAACUCUCGUUGUGAAAUUCUGUGAAUCUGACUGUUUAGAGGAAGGAAAAGUCGUAACA